AGAGAGAGAGACUAUGCGUGAAGGACUGUGUAAUAUAUAUUUUAUUUAUUUAUUUUUCACUUUAGGUUAGUGAGUGUGUCUGUUCAUCCAAUCUGUGCAACUUGACCAUCCAUCCAGUCAGUCUGUCAGUCACACAUCCAGUCUGCUCACUGUCACCCAUCCCAUCACCCACUCACCCAGUCACUCACACAUCCCAUCACCCACACACCCAUCUCAUCACAGGGUAGGGAAAUUCAUAGGUAAAUGGCACAGACCGUUAAGAAUCUAAUUUAAAUCACAGAAAGAUACUCUGGCAGUUGUCUGGAGGCUGGCUAAGGAUGAGCUAACAGAUAUUAACUCACUGAAGAGGAGAGGGAAGAGUUAACUAACUGAGGAUGUAGAGGCAAUAGAUGAGGGUAAGAACAAUAGCAGGAGAUAUUGUAGUGGAGAGUUUUGGACAAGAAAGUGAGGAAGUGGUACCUGAACAUGAGGGAGGGCUGGAAAACAGUGAAGGAGAAAGAAGCCCUAUGGAGUGUGAUGCAGAAUAAUAUUAAUAGCCUCAUCUUGGGAUUAAGCCAAAUGUUUAUCCUGAUGAGUCUGGAUAUAAUUCACCUUACAGAAAUAAAAUUGUGAUGAGUUACAAGUAGAGAACAUUGAACAAAAUAGAUACAACUUAUGAAAAAGAUCAAACAAGAAAGGAGUGAUGUUUUUAGUUAAGGAAAGCUUCAAAGUGGCUGGAUACAAUGUGAUGAUGGACUAGCAGAUGCAUUAAUAAUUAGAGUCCAAAAUAUACCAGGCAAAAAGACGAUUCAAAGUAACUGACAUACCAAGCAAUUAAUUAGGGAAAUCAGUCUUUGUUGACACUUCCAAAGCCUUUCAGUUUGUCGACCUCAGUAUACUGUUAGGAAAAAGAGCGAUAUUAAGACAUGAGGUAUAAGCACUCCUGAUUCAAAGGCUAUUUGACUGAUAGUGUGUGUGUGUGUCCUAAAUUUUUCUUAUCGUAUGACAUAAUUAUAGUUUUAGAUCCUCAUCAGUCACUGCUACAUCUUGCAACCAGUAUUUGGAGAACACAGUGAGAAUAAUUGAGGGUGGUUGCAUCACCCUCAAUCACGAUCUACAAAACUCAAACGAUGACCAAAGGGGCAAUGGAUCUGUACAUGAGUGAGGUGGCGAGGGGCGUGGCCAGGGGGCGGCUAGCAGCGUGUGCCACCAGGGAAAUGUGUAUGAACAUAAAAAAAGGCGCCUGUCAAGAAAGGUUCGUUCGGUGCAAGGAGUUGGCACAGGAGGUGUCUGAGGCUGUGCAGAGCGGCCGUCUGAACCUGGUGCCACAGCUGCACAGGAGGGCAUGGCAUAGCUGGCUGGACAACAUCACAGACUGGUGUGUCUCCCAGCAACUCUGGUGGGGCCACAGAAUGCCAGUGUACCACAUCACUGCAGCAGACGGCCGGGAGGUGUGGGUGGCAGCUGCUCGGAGGAAGAUGCAAGGCGGAAGGCUGUGCAGAAGGAAGACUGUGCUGCUGCAUGGCCUCCUGUGUGAUGGUGGCGGCCACAAGACAUCCAAGUCCUGGGGCAAUGUGAUAAACCCCCUGGAUGUGAUCAGUGGGGCGUCCCUGGAGGUACUGUGUGAGAGGAUGGAGGGGAGCCUGAAUACAGAAGAGGUACUCACUGGUAUCAGGAGGAACUUCCCCACAGGCAUCCCAGAGUGUGGAGCUGAUGCCCUUUGGUUCACCCUGUGCUCCACCAACUUCAAUACUGCACACCCCGUCCUGCAGCCUCAAGGCACUCACCUCUCCUUUUCCAGUCAUGGGUGCCUUGCCUCCUCCUUGCAACACCACCACCACCACCACCACCACUGCUGCCAUUACCUACGAGGGGGAGAGACUGUGAUGUGGCUGCAGGUGGCUAGGUUCGGAGGCCUCCAGAGAGCUGCCCAGAGUGAAGCUUGUGGUAUAGAGGGACAGCUGCUAUUCAUCAAGCUUACAUAGUGACUGGAGGAAAGUGGGAGGAGCCUGGAGGGAGUGAUGGAGGUACAGUACUUGGAGAAAAUCCCUUCACCAUGACAACUGGGUGUCUGCUGUACAGGCCACUGACCAAUGGCCUGAGCCCAGACCGAGACCCAGAGAAAUGUAAACAAACGCAGUCAGACUUGAUAUACGGGUGAAUUUGUUGCUUUUUAGAGGGGCAAUGGAUCUGUACAUGCGUGAGGUGGCGAGGGGCGUGGCCAGGGGGCGGCUAGCAGCGUGUGCCACCAGGGAAAUGUGUAUGAACAUAAAAAAAGGCGCCUGUCAAGAAAGGCACAGAUGCAGCGUGGUGAGGCAGUGUUCAUCCCAGGGGCACACCACACAGGGUCAGCAACACAGGUGGUGGUGGAGAGGCACCUGUGGGACGCCCAGGGGAACACCAAACACGACCUUGACAGACAGAAGUUUAUUGAUGAAGUGUGGAAGAAGAGGAGGAAGGAACAAUGAUAUUCGACCAGCUGCGGCA